rnacentral:RNase_P_RNA from 3 species
UGGGUCGGCAAGACGGCCGCGUGCCUGGCGACAGGCACGAGGAACGUCCGGGCUCCACAGAGCAGGACGGUGGGUAACACCCACCCGGGGCAACCCGCGAGAACAGUGCAACAGAAAGCAGACCGCCGGCGCCGCAAGGCGCGGGUAAGGGUGAAACGGUGGUGUAAGAGACCACCAGCGGCCGUGGUGACACGGUCGGCUAGGCAAACCUCGUCCGGAGCAAGGUCAGACAGGAAGCGUCACGGGUGGCUCGCCCAGCUUCCGGGUAGACCGCUAGAGGCGUGCGGCAACGUACGUCGUAGAUAGAUGGCCGUCCAGCGCCGCAAGGCGUGAACAGAACCCGGCGUAUCAGCCGGCCCAUUCG